rnacentral:rRNA from 1 species
GACGAACGCUGGUGGCGUGCCUAAUACAUGCAAGUCGAGCGGACCAAUAGAAGCUUGCUUCUUUUGGUUAGCGGCGGACGGGUGAGUAACACGUGGGCAACCUGCCUGUAAGACUGGGAUAACUUCGGGAAACCGGAGCUAAUACCGGAUAAUUCAUCCCCUCGCAUGAGGGGAUGCUGAAAGUCGGUUUACGCUGACACUUGCAGAUGGGCCCGCGGCGCAUUAGCUAGUUGGUGAGGUAAUGGCUCAACAAGGCGACGAUGCGUAGCCGACCUGAGAGGGUGAUCGGCCACACUGGGACUGAGACACGGCCCAGACUCCUACGGGAGGCAGCAGUAGGGAAUCUUCCACAAUGGACGAAAGUCUGAUGGAGCAACGCCGCGUGAGCGAUGAAGGCCUUCGGGUCGUAAAGCUCUGUUGUUAGGGAAGAACAAGUAUCGGAGUAACUGCCGGUACCUUGACGGUACCUAACCAGAAAGCCACGGCUAACUACGUGCCAGCCGCCGCCGUAA